rnacentral:tRNA from 1 species
GGUGGGAUAUGCAAGCGGCCAAAGCACGCAGACUGUAAAUCUGUUCCGGUAAUCGGUUCGAAGGUUCGAAUCCUUCUCCCACCACCA